GACGAACGCUGGCGGCGUGCUUAACACAUGCAAGUCGAACGGAAAGGCCCUGCUUGCAGGGUACUCGAGUGGCGAACGGGUGAGUAACACGUGGGUGAUCUGCCCUGCACUUCGGGAUAAGCUUGGGAAACUGGGUCUAAUACCGGAUAGGAACCAUCUUUAGUGUGGUGGUUGGAAAGUUUUUUCGGUGUAGGAUGAGCUCGCGGCCUAUCAGCUUGUUGGUGGGGUAAUGGCCUACCAAGGCGGCGACGGGUAGCCGGCCUGAGAGGGUGUACGGCCACAUUGGGACUGAGAUACGGCCCAGACCCCUACGGGAGGCAGCAGUGGGGAAUAUUGCACAAUGGGCGCAAGCCUGAUGCAGCGACGCCGCGUGGGGGAUGAAGGCCUUCGGGUUGUAAACUCCCUUCGCUAGGGACGAAGCUUUGUUGUGACGGUACCUAGAGAAGAAGCACCGGCUAACUACGUG
rnacentral:rRNA from 1 species